rnacentral:rRNA from 1 species
AGAGUUUGAUCCUGGCUCAGGAUGAACGCUGGCGGCGUGCCUAACACAUGCAAGUCGAGCGGAGUUAUUUUCAGGAAGCUUUCGGGUGGAAUGAACUUAACUUAGCGGCGGACGGGUGAGUAACGCGUGGGCAACCUACCCUGUACAGGGGGAUAACAAUGGGAAACCAUUGCUAAUACCCCAUAAUACCUUUUAGGGGCAUCCCUUUAAGGUCAAAGAAUUUCGGUACAGGAUGGGCCCGCGUCUGAUUAGCUAGUUGGUGAGGUAAUGGCUCACCAAGGCGACGAUCAGUAGCCGGCCUGAGAGGGAGAACGGCCACACUGGAACUGAGACACGGUCCAGACUCCUACGGGAGGCAGCAGUGGGGAAUAUUGCACAAUGGGCGAAAGCCUGAUGCAGCAACGCCGCGUGAGCGAUGAAGGCUUUCGGGUCGUAAAGCUCUGUCCUAAGGGAAGAUAAUGACGGUACCUUAGGAGGAAGCCCCGGCUAACUACGUGCCAGCAGCCGCGGUAAUUC